CGGGAUGUGGCGCAGUUUGGUAGCGCAGCAGCUUUGGGAGCUGAUGGUCGCAGGUUCAAAUCCUGCCAUUCCGA
rnacentral:tRNA from 1 species